GCGGGCGUGAUGGAAUGGUAGACAUACCGGACUUAAAAUCCGGAGGCGGAAGCCGUGCGGGUUCGAGUCCCGCCGCCCGUACCA
rnacentral:tRNA from 1 species